rnacentral:rRNA from 1 species
UGCAGUCGAACGGUAGCAGGAAGAAAGCUUGCUUUCUUUGCUGACGAGUGGCGGACGGGUGAGUAAUGCUUGGGAAUCUGGCUUAUGGAGGGGGAUAACUGUGGGAAACUGCAGCUAAUACCGCGUAGUAUCGAGAGAUGAAAGGGUGGGACCUUCGGGCCACCUGCCAUAAGAUGAGCCCAAGUGGGAUUAGGUAGUUGGUGGGGUAAAGGCCUACCAAGCCGACGAUCUCUAGCUGGUCUGAGAGGAUGACCAGCCACACUGGGACUGAGACACGGCCCAGACUCCUACGGGAGGCAGCAGUGGGGAAUAUUGCGCAAUGGGGGGAACCCUGACGCAGCCAUGCCGCGUGAAUGAAGAAGGCCUUCGGGUUGUAAAGUUCUUUCGGUAAUGAGGAAGGGGUAUUAUUGAAUAG